GUGGGGAAUAUUGGACAAUGGGCGAAAGCCUGAUCCAGCCAUGCCGCGUGUGUGAAGAAGGUCUUCGGAUUGUAAAGCACUUUAAGUUGGGAGGAAGGGUAGUAACCUAAUACGUUGCUACUUUGACGUUACCGACAGAAUAAGCACCGGCUAACUUCGUGCCAGCAGCCGUGGUAAUACGAAGGGUGCAAGCGUUAAUCGGAAUUACUGGGCGUAAAGCGCGCGUAGGUGGUUCAGUAAGUUGGAAGUGAAAUCCCCGGGCUCAACCUGGGAACUGCUUUCAAAACUGCUGAGCUAGAGUACGGUAGAGGGUGGUGGAAUUUCCUGUGUAGCGGUGAAAUGCGUAGAUAUAGGAAGGAACACCAGUGGCGAAGGCGACCACCUGGACUGAUACUGACACUGAGGUGCGAAAGCGUGGGGAGCAAACAGGAUUAGAAACCCGGGUAGUCC
rnacentral:rRNA from 1 species